GCUGGGUGUGGUGGUGCGCACCUGUAAUCCCAGCUACUCAGGAGGCUGAGGCAGGAGAAUCGCUUGAACCCGGGAGGUGGUGGUUGCAGUGAGCUGAGAUCACACCACUGUACUCCACCCUGGGCGACAGAGUGAGACUCCGUCUCAA
rnacentral:SRP_RNA from 1 species